rnacentral:rRNA from 1 species
GACAGAGGCCCCAAGCGUUUAGGCGGAAUCACUGGGCUUAAAGCGUGUGUAGGCGGACGCCUAAGUGUCUUGUGAAAUCCCACGGCUCACCCGUGGAACUGCUGGGCAUACUGGGCGUCUUGGGCCAACUAGGGGCAGCCGGAACAAGCGGUGGAGCGGUGAAAUGCGUAGAUAUCGCUUGGAACGCCGAAGGUGAAAACAGGCUGCUGGGGUUGCGCCGACGCUGAGACACGAAAGCCAGGGGGAGCAAACGGGG